CACGAACCGGGCAAACGUUAUUCGGAAUUACUGGGCUUAAAGGGUGCGUAGGCGGCGCUAUAAGUCGGGUGUGAAAUACCUCGGCCCAACCGAGGAAUUGCGCCCGAUACUGUAGUGCUUGAGGAAGGCAGAGGUGAGUGGAACUAGCAGUGGAGCGGUGAAAUGCGUUGAUAUUGCUGGGAACACCAGUGGCGAAGGCGGCUCACUGGGCCUUUUCUGACGCUGAGGCACGAAAGCUAGGGUAGCGAAC
rnacentral:rRNA from 1 species